AUGGCUAACCGGCCCACUCGCCCGUUGGCCAACUCAAGACCUCCGCGAGUUCCGGCGACAGGAACGAGUUGGAGAGAAGGAACACAAGCCGUCGUGAUUUGCAUCGCACACGCCGCGGUUACCUCCGUUCAUCUCGCUCAGGUCACAUGGGAGGCAGAGGGUCAAGCACCGGAGCAAACCUGUCGUCCAUUGUGCCAACAUGCCCUUGUGAGGGCUGUGCCGUUCGCCGUCAUGUGGGCGGCAGGCAGGCAGCGCCCAUUCCGCCCUGCCCCAAUCCCAUCCCCCCGCCCGCCCCCUCCCCUCCCCGUGAUACUGUGCACUGCACAGGGACAGAUUCCUGGAGUAAAACACGCCGUGACGACAGACGAGUAA
rnacentral:rRNA from 1 species